rnacentral:lncRNA from 1 species
UCUUGCAGUGAAAGAAUCCCAACUUCUUGUGUUUUUCACCAUGCCAUUUCUCGUUUUACAGUUGGAGAAGCUGAAGUAGGAGUAGGAUUGUAAAUUGCUCUAGCCCGAAAAGUGAGUGGAAGUCAGAACCAGAACUAACAUUGCUGCCCUUAACACUGCUGCCCUUAAACUGAAGUGUCUCACAGUCGUUCAGAGUAACUGUUUCUUGUGAACCUGGCUGGCAAUUAAAAUGAAAGUAUCUGAGUGACAAAGGAAGGGGAGAGAAGUCAGGGGCUGCUGUGGGAAAAACAUGAAUGCAUUCAGUAGCUGCACAAAGUAUAUAGUGGAAUACUGCCAGACCAGCCAGUCAGCUCUUCACUUGUUGCAGCUCUGCAUCUGUGAUGGUCUUCAUCUGUCCGUGUUUAGACAACUAAAUUUUCUACAGCCUAGAGGCACACAUUGGGACUGA